AACGAACGCUGGCGGCAGGCUUAACACAUGCAAGUCGAACGCCCCGCAAGGGGAGUGGCAGACGGGUGAGUAACGCGUGGGAAUCUACCUUUUGCUACGGGAUAGCUCCGGGAAACUGGAAUUAAUACCGUAUGUGCCCUUCGGGGGAAAGAUUAUCGGCAAAGGAUGAGCCCGCGUUGGAUUAGCUAGUUGGUGGGGUAAAGGCCUACCAAGGCGACGAUCCAUAGCUGGUCUAAGAGGAUGAUCAGCCACAUUGGGACUGAGACACGGCCCAAACUCCUACGGGAGGCAGCAGUGGGGAAUAUUGGACAAUGGGCGCAAGCCUGAUCCAGCCAUGCCGCGUGAGUGAUGAAGGCCCUAGGGUUGUAAAGCUCUUUCAGUGGGGACGAUAAUGACGGUACCCACAGAAGAAGCCCCGGCUAACUUCGUGCCAGCAGCCGCCGUAA
rnacentral:rRNA from 1 species